UUUGAAAGUGACAUAUUCCAGUGAAUUCUCAUAUUAUUAUGUUGCCUCAUUACACAAUACUGCAUCUAAAAUAGCUUUCACCCUAGUCUAUUUGUUUUUAUGAUUCUCAAGAAAAGCUUCUACAACCUCAUCUUCCAGAUCAACCUUUUCAAUUUGGGACAAUGUUACCGGCUCCACUAAUUUCUUGUUAAUGCUUUGUCCAACUAUGUAACUACAGUAUGGACCUGUAAACUAACCCCAGUAGUGUUUUCUGUCUCUUACUAAUCAUCUGGAUCCCUUUUGUCUUCCUAAAAUAUAGUGUAUCCUGGAAUAUUUGUUUCCGUAAUGCUAAUUAAAUCGAAGCCAUUUAAUACUCCUUGUGCCACUAGAUCAUCUGUCUUACUGUAGCUGCUUUGCCCACAUAGAUAAAGACUAUUUAAUUUUGAUUUUUUUUUCUCUAAGCAGUUAUUCCCUGAAUGGAACUUGCUUGCUGAUGCCAAAUAAACUCUGCCUGUGUUUACUCAGAGUGCUACACUGUUCCUUUACCUUGACUUAUCUCAUUGGAUUUUAAAAUUUCCCUUCACCUGAAUCUCUGUUAGUUUAAUGUCUUGUUGACACCCAUAGUUAUACAGAGCACUUGUUGCAGCCUGGUUUAAGUUAAUCUCAUCCUGAUGGAAUAGGUCCCUCUUUAGUGAGUGCCCCAUCAUUCAAAAAUCUCUCUUUCACUAAUCUGCUUGACCUUGUGCCAGUUGACACAUUGCUCAGAUAAUAAUCCAGCCAUGAUUACCUUCAGUGAUCUGCAUUUCAAUUUCAGCAUUAAAUCCUCAAAGCCUCUCUGUAAAGCAUCAUUCCUGAUUCAAACUAUGUCAUUGAUAUCCAAAUGGACCAGAACAACUGAAUGCACCCCUCCAAGUCUGAGGAGAUGUCUUUCCCCUAUGAGUAUUACAUUCCUUCUCAUACUUUCAAGGACGAAAGUACGCAAUAUACUUUGUACUUUGGUUAUCCAAGUGAACUUACUGAUGGAGGCCAGUAGUUUGCAGUUAGGAACAGGGACUCUGGUAAAUUGAACUCAUUCCUUGGUCAGAGUUUGCUCAGAUAAGUUAUAGGGACCAACUACAAUCCUGCCAGAAAAUUGUAAUGAGAAGUGCUUUGUUUCAUUUACCAGCUAAUGCAGAUCUAUUGCCAGCCACUGUGACUGGAUCAAAUUUCGCAAUGUCUCAGCCAUUUCUGAGUUUUGUGAUAUCAUGAAAACAACUCUGCCGCCUUUUGGGUUGUUUUUUGUUUUGUUGCAGAAGACCCGAUUCUGAUAGUCUCUUAUAGACAAUGACAACUAAAUCAAAAGCCCAAUUAUAGAUUUUGUGAUCUGGAUUGAGAUUUCUUCGUGUAAAUCCAGGUAUUAGUGUCAGCAGACUAUCAAAAUUAUUCUUUCCUAUCUACGGUAUAUAGCGUUUUUGGCAAAAUAAACCAGAACUGUUUAAUGGCACCCAAUUACUUUCUCCUCUCUGUCUUUGCAGAUGGAUCUCUGGUGCUGUUCUCCCUAACUUCACACAAUGGCUGGGUAACAGCAGUCAAAUGGUCACCUACCCAUGAGAAUCAGUUGAUUUCAGGCUCUUUUGACAAAUUGGUCAAGCUCUGGGAUGUACGAAGUUGCAAGGCUCCACUUUAUGAUUUGAAUGCCCAUGAAGACAGAGUACUCUGUGUAGACUGGACAGAGAAUGGGUUGCUGUUAAGUGGUGGAGCAGACAACAAAUUAUUCUCAUUUAGAUAUUUGGCUCCUACUUCUGGGGAUGGCGCUUGAACAAGAAUACCAAAUGAUGAAGGACCGCACCCCAUCAGAGGACACCAUCACACUCUCUCAUCUUGUGUUGUUCUUAUAACACCUUGAAUAAGAUCUGUUUGCUUGCCAUGAUGGUUGAGUUUUGAUCUCAUUCUGUCAAUGUAAUAAUGCCUGAUGGUUCUUACGUUAAGAUAAUUGGCACUGGGAUUUAAACUUGGAAAGGUGGUCCACUGAUGUAGCUGCUGUUACUAUUUUCAGGCAUUUGUAAUAAUAUUGCACCUACCUUAGUUUUUUUUUUAUAAGGUCUUGGAGUUUUGUACUUUAUUUGCAGGAAGUUCAACAUUUUGUCAGAUCGUAUCUACAAUGUGGUGAUAUCACCCUUAGCUCCUGCAUUACACCGAUCACAAUUUGAGAAUUUAGGAGGUGAGUGCAGACUUACACUACCAGACUGAAAACCUGUGUGGACAAUGAGUUGAAAGUGGAUUGGAUUUUCUAACCUUAUCAUCUCAUAGUAACAUGUUUAUUUUCCUAGAAUUUCUUACUGUUAAUUAAUCCAACCUGAUUUUUUUCUUUUCAUAUUUCAUGCAAAAUGAUCAAUUUGCAUAAAAUUCUGCUAAGCAAAUUCUAAACUGUUCGCCUAGUCUCUGAAAAAACUUUACAUAGAAUAGACAUGAGUCAGAAUUUAUGCAUCAUUUCAAGCUUUCCCUUCCUCAUCUUUAUUUAUUUCCAUGUUUCAAUGUUCUUACCAUUUCAAGGACAAUUAAGACGCGAUAAAUGCUGACUGUACUAGUGAUAUAUAUUACUGAACAAAUAAAGUACAUUUCUCAAGUU